rnacentral:rRNA from 1 species
CCUACGGGAGGCAGCAGUGGGGAAUUUUGCGCAAUGGGGGCAACCCUGACGCAGCAACGCCGCGUGAGUGAUGAAGGCCUUCGGGUCGUAAAGCUCUGUCAGAGGGGAAGAAAUGCAGGUGGUGAACAACCAUUCUGUUUGACGGUACCCUCAAAGGAAGCACCGGCUAACUCCGUGCCAGCAGCCGCGGUAAUACGGAGGGUGCGAGCGUUGUUCGGAAUUAUUGGGCGUAAAGCGCGUGUAGGCGGUUUGUUAAGUCUGAGGUGAAAGCCCCGGGCUCAACCGGGGAAGUGCAUUGGAUACUGGCAGACUUGAGUACGGGAGAGGAGAGUGAAAUUCCCAGUGUAGGAGUGAAAGCCGUAGAUAUUGGGAGGAACACCGGUGGCGAGGGCGGCUCUCUGGACCGUUCCUGACGCUGAGGCGCGAAGGCUGGGGGAGCGAACAGGAUUAGAUCCCCUUGUAGU